UUGUCUAUUUAAGGAGUAAAGUCCUUUUUUCUGAUCUUUUUUUCUUGUUUUCAACAGAUCAGGUCAUUAAGGAAACAAAUUUGAAUGAAACUGGAUGGAGUCACAGGUUUUAAUGUACCAUCAAACGUUCCUAAGAUAAUCUGAUGAUUUUUUUUUAUUAUUUAUUGGACUUAUAUGUUUUUUCAGCAGACACCUCAUGCGUACUGCUACAUUUCACUCACACUUGAUAAUUGUUAUUGAUUGAUGCAUGUUCUCACCAUACCCCAUGUAAAAAAUUGUCUAUUUAAGGAGUAAAGUCCUUUUUUCUGAUCUUUUUUUCUUGUUUUCAACAGAUCAGGUCAUUAACAAAACAAAUUUGAAUGAAAGUGGAUGGAAUCACAGGUUUUAAACUACCAUCAAAUGUUCUUAAGGUCAUUAAGGAAACAGAUUUGAAUGAAACUGGAUGGAGUCACAGGUUUUAAUCUACCAUCAAACGUUCCUAAGAUAAUCUGAUGAUUUUUAAUAUGGAUCAAGGCCUAGAAGUUUGGUAGACAUCUCAAAUCAGGUCAUUAAGGAAACAGAUUUGAAUGAAACUGGAUGGAGUCACAGGUUUUAAACUACCAUCAAACGUUCCUAAGAUAAUCUGAUGAUUUCUUUAUUAAUUAUUGGACUUAUAUGUUUUUUCAGCAGAAACUUCAUGCGUACUGCUACAUUUUACUCACACUUGAUAAUUGUUAUUGAUUGAUGCAUGUUCUCACCAUACCCCAUGUAAAAAGUUGUCUAUUUUAGGAUGACGUUUGAUUUUUUCCCUGUAUUUCUCUUGUUGUCAUCUCAUCAGGUCAUUAAGGAAACAGAUUUGAAUGAAACUGGAUGGAGUCACAGGUUUUAAUCUACCAUCAAACGUUCCUAAGAUCAGGUCAUUAAGGAAACAGAUUUGAAUGAAACUGGAUGGAGUCACAGAUCAGGUCAUUAAGGAAACAGAUUUGAAUGAAACUGGAUGGAGUCACAGGUUUUAAUCUACCAUCAAACGUUCCUAAGAUAAUCUGAUGAUUUUUAAUAUGGAUCAAGGCCUAGAAGUUUGGUAGACAUCUCAAAUCAGGUCAUUAAGGAAACAGAUUUGAAUGAAACUGGAUGGAGUCACAGAUCAGGUCAUUAAGAAAACAGAUUUGAAUGAAACUGGAUGGAGUCACAGGUUUUAAACUACCAUCAAACGUUCCUAAGAUAAUCUGAUGAUUUCUUUAUGAUUUCUUGGAUUUAUAUGUUUUUUCAGCAGACACCUCAUGU